rnacentral:piRNA from 1 species
CACAAAAAAAGACUCCGCAGAACCU